rnacentral:lncRNA from 1 species
CUCAGGUGGGUGAGUUUCAUGUCACUGGAGAUAUUCAAGAUGAAGCCAAAAGACCACUUUUCUGGACAUUCUAAGGGAGUUGCCCCAUCAGAACCCUUCUGGAGCCCUCCAUGCACUGAUUCCCAGGAGGCCCAUACUGCUGCUUCUCCGGGACGCUGACCCACGUAUCUGGAAAGCUUCUCCUCUAUUAGGUGCCAAAGGUGAGAAAAGAUAAGACCAAGAAUGGCCGUGACAUCCAGGUCUUUACUGGAAAAAAAAAUAGCACUCUCUACUAACUGAGCAAUGCGAGUUCCUACAAACUGCUGAGACAUCUUCUCACCUCUCUAAAGAAAGGGUAGAAAGACUUUUAAAGGUGAACCGCUCACAUUAUAACCAGAACCCUCUGCUGCCCCUGACUGUUUUUUGCAACACAGACA